UGGCGAACGGGUGAGUAACACGUGGGUGAUCUGCCCUGCACUCUGGGAUAAGCCUGGGAAACUAGGUCUAAUACCGGAUAGGACCAUGCUUUAGUGUGUGUGGUGGAAAGUUUUUUCGGUGUAGGAUGAGCCCGCGGCCUAUCAGCUUGUUGGUGGGGUAAUGGCCUACCAAGGCGGCGACGGGUAGCCGGACUGAGAGGUUGGUCGGCCACAUUGGGACUGAGAUACGGCCCAG
rnacentral:rRNA from 1 species